AGCACUGCAGACGAAGGAUAACUGGAGACAGUGUGGCCACUGGUCAGUACCUAUUGGUGACCCUACUUUAAUGGUAACGUUCGGACUUCCCUCUCAAUCCUAACAUAGAGGAACCUACAGUUUGGAAACGGAAAGCAUUCCUUGUUGAGUUGUUGUACCACACGUUCUUGUAGUUCUGGUAAUGAGAGUUCCUGGCACGAAAACCUGGGACAGUUCCUUUUGCCAUUAACCCUCUUGGAUUUGGUUGUCUCUACCGUUCAUUCACACAACGAAACAGUCAUGCUGAUGGAGGAGGAGUAGAAAUUAAAACUCUCCCGGCCAACGUUAAUUUUUGCCACCCCUGGUUUUUAGAAAAGACAAGCAAUUAAGAUAUCGGGAUAUUAUGUGCAAGUUAUUAUUAACAUUUAUUUUGCAGUUGUUAAUCAUAAUGCAACGUCCAAGCUAUAAAC